CUCUGUUUUCAGGGAGCCUAAAAUCUCCUUUUUCUUGUAGCACUUGCAACAUUUAAUUAAAAGAUACUGUUCUGCCUUGGUGAGCUCCUAAUCCAGCAAUGGAGAAAUGAUAUUGAUAAUGUGCAAGAAAGGCACUCAGAUUCCCAUUUUUUCAUCCUGAAAGCAGAAGAUGAAACUCUCAGGUGAGAACUGCGCUUCCAGUGCCGAGAGGAAAGAAACAGCACCAGAGAAGCACUUGAGUCUGGAAGAAUUUGCACAUGGAGACCUUGUUAAAGCCCUGCCCACCAGAGACCCUAAGGAGG